rnacentral:rRNA from 1 species
GGCGAGCGAGCGGGAAGAGCUCAAAUUUGAAAGCUGGCGUCCUUCGGGCGUCCGCAUUGUAAUCUAUAGAGGCGUUUUCUGUGCUGGACCGUGUCCAAGUCCCUUGGAACAGGGUAUCAAAGAGGGUGACAAUCCCGUACUUGACACGACAACCAGUGCUCUGUGAUACGUCUUCUACGAGUCGAGUUGUUUGGGAAUGCAGCUCAAAAUGGGUGGUGAAUUCCAUCUAAAGCUAAAUAUUGGCGAGAGACCGAUAGCGAACAAGUACCGUGAGGGAAAGAUGAAAAGCACUUUGGAAAGAGAGUUAAACAGUAUGUGAAAUUGUUGAAAGGGAAACGAUGGAGGUCAGUCGUGUCUGUGGGAUUCAGCCGUCUCUGGCGGUGUACUUCCCACAGACGGGUCAACAUCAGUUUUGGUCGGCGGAUAAAGGCAGGAGGAAGGUGGCACCCUCGGGUGUGUUAUAGCCUCUUGUUGCAUACGCUGGCCGAGACUGAGGAAUGCAGCUCGCCUUUAUGGCCGGGGUUCGCCCACGUUCGAGCUUAGGAUGUUGACAUAAUGGCCUUCAACGACCCGUCUUGAACC